CGAAUGAGGGAGCUUGCUCCUCUGAUUUAGCGGCGGACGGGUGAGUAACACGUGGGCAACCUGCCCUGUAGACUGGGAUAACUUCGGGAAACCGGAGCUAAUACCGGAUAAUCCAUUUCACCUCAUGGUGAAAUGUUGAAAGGCGCUUUCGGGCGUCACUACAGGAUGGGCCCGCGGUGCAUUAGCUAGUUGGUGGGGUAACGGCCUACCAAGGCGACGAUGCAUAGCCGACCUGAGAGGGUGAUCGGCCACAUUGGGACUGAGACACGGCCCAAACUCCUACGGGAGGCAGCAGUAGGGAAUCUUCCACAAUGG
rnacentral:rRNA from 1 species